rnacentral:rRNA from 1 species
GAUGAACGCUGGCGGCGUGCCUAAUACAUGCAAGUCGAGCGAACAGACGAGGAGCUUGCUCCUCUGACGUUAGCGGCGGACGGGUGAGUAACACGUGGAUAACCUACCUAUAAGACUGGGAUAACUUCGGGAAACCGGAGCUAAUACCGGAUAAUAUAUUUAACCGCAUGGUUCAAUAGUGAAAGACGGUUUUGCUGUCACUUAUAGAUGGAUCCGCGCCGCAUUAGCUAGUUGGUAAGGUAACGGCUUACCAAGGCAACGAUGCGUAGCCGACCUGAGAGGGUGAUCGGCCACACUGGAACUGAGAAACGGUCCAGACUCCUACGGGAGGCAGCAGUAGGGAAUCUUCCGCAAUGGGCGAAAGCCUGACGGAGCAACGCCGCGUGAGUGAUGAAGGUCUUCGGAUCGUAAAACUCUGUUAUUAGGGAAGAACAAAUGUGUAAGUAACUAUGCACGUCUUGACGGUACCUAAUCAGAAAGCCACGGCUAACUACGUG